UCAGUUGUGUUUAUCAAUUAAUAGUAUGAAAAGUAUGUACACAUUUAGUUUUAUAAGUGUAGUGUUUUUGGUUUCAAUAAAAAGCCAAAGGUUUAUGGAUAGAACCUGCCAGAGUUAUGGUUCGUACACAGUACAAGAAUUCAAUCUUGAAAGGUUUUCUGGAAUGUGGUAUGUAUAUAAAGCGUACAAAAAUGAGUUAGAAGAUAACGUAACUUGUGCUCAGAUGAAUUAUACUGCAAUUGAUACAGAAUCUUUAUCAAUAAAUCAUCAGUCUUUUGAUAACAAUAAAUAUAUUGUUAGUAAAGCCUCACAUCAAGGUGUGUUAAAAAUGGUUUAUCCUGAGUUAGAGAACGGUUAUUUCCAUCUCUACAAAGACAAUCAGUUUUCGAUAAAACUUCUUUAUUUAAUUAUGAAGACAGACUACAAAAAUUAUGCAGCAGUUUGGGCCUGUUCAAAUAUCGGGUGGAGGAGUUUACAAUUUCUCUGGAUCCUUUCCCGAGGUGGUAAGUUAAUGGAUUACAUGGAAAAUAAAAUAAACAAGAAAUUAUUAUUAAAUGAAAUAGAAUUGAAAAAUAUUCGAGUGAUGAAUAAAAAACCAAAAUUAUGUGAAAAACGAAAUAAAAACAAUAAUAAUUGAACAAGACUUUAUAAAACACCAUGCAGUACGUAUCCUGCUUGCUUCUCUUGAUAUUUAGUAAAAAGCAAUUCCUGUCGUUCAGCCAACAAGUUCAAUUAUUAGGUUUAUACAAAAUGGCAUAGAAAAAAGCACUUUCAGUUUUUCAGAUUGAUAAUUUAAAACAAAAGCACA